rnacentral:rRNA from 1 species
UCCGUUGAUCUGCCGGACCCCACUGCUAUCGGGAUAGACUAAGACAUGCUAGUCGAGUGAUUCAGGCAAAACGAGUCACGGCACACAGCUCAGUAACACGUGGCUAAUCUGCCCUUAGGACGAGAACAACCCCGGGAAACUGGGGCUAACUCUCGAUAGGCGAAGAACUCUGGAAUGAGUCUUUACCUAAAUAGUGCAACGUUAUCCUCGUUGCAUCGCCUAAGGAUGAGGCCGCGACCGAUCAGGUUGUUGGCGAGGUAAUGGCUCACCAAGCCUUUUACCGGUGCGGGCCGUGAGAGCGGGAGCCCGGAGAUGGGCACUGAGACGAGGGCCCAGGCCCUACGGGGCGCAGCAGUCGCGAAAACUUUGCAAUAAGCGAAAGCUUGACAGGGCUAUCCCGAGUGCCAUCCGCUGAGGAAGGCUUUUACCCAGUCUAGAACGCUGGGGGAAUAAGGAGAGGGCAAGUCUGGUGUCAGCCGCCGCGGUAAUACCAGCUCUCCGAGUGGUGUGGAUGUUUAUUGGGCCUAAAGCAUCCGUAGCUGGCUAGGUCAGUCCCUUGUUAAAUCCACCGAAUUAAUCGUUGGAUUGCGGGGGAUACUGCUUGGCUAGGGGACGAGAGAGGCAGACGGUAUUUUCGGGGUAGGGGUGAAAUCCUAUAAUCCCGGGAAGACCACCAGUGGCGAAGGCUGUCUGCUAGAACGCGCCCGACGGUGAGGGAUGAAAGCUGGGGGAGCGAACCGGAUUAGAUACCCGGGUAGUCCCAGCUGUAAACGAUGCAGACUAGGUGUUUGGACGGCCACGUGCCGUUCUAGUGCCGCAGGGAAGCUGUUAAGUCUGCCGCCUGGGGAGUACGAUCGCAAGAUUGAAACUUAAAGGAAU